UGGAGCUUGGUGUAGUGGUGCACGUCGCUUAAGCCGUUAUACUAUGUCGAGGGUACGGCGAAGGCCCCAGUUCGAUUCUGGGAGCUUCCA
rnacentral:tRNA from 1 species